AACGAACGCUGGCGGCAUGCCUAACACAUGCAAGUCGAACGAGACCUUCGGGUCUAGUGGCGCACGGGUUCGUAACGCGUGGGAACCUGCCCUUAGGUUCGGAAUAACUCCCCGACAGGGGUGCUAAUACCGGAUAAUGUCUUCGGACCAAAGAUUUAUCGCCUUUGGAUGGGCCCGCGUUGGGUUAGCUAGUUGGUAGGGUAAAAGCCUACCAAGGCGACGAUCCAUAGCUGGUCUGAGAGGAUGAUCAGCCACACUGGGACUGAGACACGGCCCAGACUCCUACGGGAGGCAGCAGUGGGGAAUAUUGGACAAUGGGCGAAAGCCUGAUCCAGCAAUGCCGCGUGAGUGAUGAAGGCCUUAGGGUUGUAAAGCGCUUUUACCCGGGAUGAUAAUGACAGUACCGGGAGAAUAAGCUCCGGCUAACUCCGUG
rnacentral:rRNA from 1 species